rnacentral:rRNA from 1 species
CACCGCGGUUAUACGAGAGGCCCAAGUUGUUAGUUGUCGGCGUAAAGAGUGGUUAAGACAAAAAUAAACUAAAGCCGAAUGCCCUCAGAACUGUUAUACGUUCCCGAAGGUAAGAAGCCCAACUACGAAAGUGGCUUUAUGAGAUCUGAUCCCACGAAAGCUAGGGUA